rnacentral:rRNA from 1 species
AUUGAACGCUGGCGGCAGGCCUAACACAUGCAAGUCGAACGAGUGGCGGACGGGUGAGUAAUGUCUGGGAAACUGCCUGAUGGCGGGGGAACACUACUGGAACCGGUAGCUAAUACCGCAUACCAUCAGAUGUGCCAAGAUGGGAUUAGCUAGUUGGUGGGGUAACGGCUCACCAAGGCGUCGAUCCAUAGCUGGUCUGAGAGGAUGACCAGCCACACUGGAACUGAGACAUGGUCCAGCCUCCUACGGUAGGCAGCAGUGGGGAAUAUUGCACAAUGGGCGCAAUCCUGAUGCAUCCAUGCCGCGUGGAUGAAGAAGGCCUUCGGGUUGUAAAGUACUUUCAGCGGGGAGGCGUUACCCGCAGAAGAAGCACCGGCUAACGCCGUGCCAGCAGCCGCGGUAAUAC